AGACGUGGCCGACGCGGGUCAAAGUGUAGUAUAUCUGUUCUUAUCAGCUUAAUAUCCGAUACGGGUUGUAUUUGUACCAAAGAUAUUAAACUUAUUUUUGCAAGUUGGCGGAGUGCUUGAAGCCUUCUUCACCUCCUCUGUGGGUCGGUCCGGUACUGCACUAUCUUAAGGAUUUUACAGCGAAGCUGUU